GGAGAGGUGCCUGAGUGGUUGAAAGGGGCACCCUGCUAAGGUGUUGUGCUUUAACGAGUACCGAGGGUUCGAAUCCCUCCCUCUCCGCCA
rnacentral:tRNA from 1 species